rnacentral:rRNA from 1 species
AUUGAACGCUAGCGGGAUGCCUUACACAUGCAAGUCGAACGGCAGCACGGACUUCGGUCUGGUGGCGAGUGGCGAACGGGUGAGUAAUGUAUCGGAACGUGCCCAGUAGCGGGGGAUAACUACGCGAAAGCGUAGCUAAUACCGCAUACGCCCUACGGGGGAAAGCAGGGGAUCGUAAGACCUUGCACUAUUGGAGCGGCCGAUAUCGGAUUAGCUAGUUGGUGGGGUAACGGCUCACCAAGGCGACGAUCCGUAGCUGGUUUGAGAGGACGACCAGCCACACUGGGACUGAGACACGGCCCAGACUCCUACGGGAGGCAGCAGUGGGGAAUUUUGGACAAUGGGGGAAACCCUGAUCCAGCCAUCCCGCGUGUGCGAUGAAGGCCUUCGGGUUGUAAAGCACUUUUGGCAGGAAAGAAACGUCAUGGGUUAAUACCCCGUGAAACUGACGGUACCUGCAGAAUAAGCACCGGCUAACUACG